AAAGGAAAUUUAAAUCCGUUAGUAUUUCAAGCCCAGUGGUCGUCGUCGUCUUCUCCAAACUCCAAUCGGUGGUCGCCGGCCGGAGCCUGCACCACCGCCACGCACGGCGGCUAUAAAUACGAGGCCCCCGCGGGCGCGAGCACGCAGGGGCGCAGAGGGGGAGAUGGAAAUGGAGGCGGAGGAUUGGGGGGAGAGCUCGUCGCCGCCACGGCCACACCCAGAGGCAGACAUGGUGAAUAAAGAGAAGGACCCCGAGGAGAUGAAGAGGAAGCUGAAGGAGCGAAUCCUGGAGCUGGAGAAGGAGGAGGUCCCCCUCCCCGACGACGCCUCCGCCUUCGUCCACCACCUGUCGCGCCUCCCCAAAAGGUAUCUCUUCGACCUCGGCGUUGACAGGGUGGACGACGUCCUCCUCCACUGGAGGAUCCUCACCCACUGCGCCCACCCACAGAAUCGCCCCGUCUUCCACGCCCGCUUCCAAAAGUCCAUUCCUCUCCCGGAUUCCGAUUUCGAUCCAUGCCAGAGGCUCAUGGAAGACCUCAGCUUGGAGAGAAGAAGAAGAAACGACACAGGAGACAACACCGGCUCCAUGUCCAUCUCCUCUAGGUACCCCAAAACUAAGCUUAUUCAUGAGAUUAUCUUCUCUUCCCUGGACAAGCCCAAGCUUCUUAGCAGGCUCACUCUACUCUUGUCUGAGGUUGGACUGAAUAUUCGUGAAGCCCAUGUUUACUCCACAACUGAUGGCUUCUGUUUGGACGUUUUUGUUGUUGAUGGCUGGGACACAGAGGAGACAGAUGAUUUGAUCAUCAAGAUUAAGGAGGCAUUGUCGCACAAAAAUGCAUCACCAUCUAAUUCAACAAAUUCUUCAGCCUCGACAAAUCAGCAGAAAAUAGCUGAGCUACAACAGCAGGUUGGAGAUUCUGAAAUUGACUGGAACUUGCUAACAACAGGGGAAAAGAUUGCUACUGGAUCUUCUGCUGACUUGUAUCGAGGAACUUACAAUGGUCUUGAUGUUGCUGUAAAGAUUCUCAGAGAUUCUCAUUUCAACAAUCCGUCAGAAGUUGAGUUCUUACAGGAAAUACUUAUUCUAAGGAGUGUUAAUCAUGAAAAUGUUCUUCAAUUUUAUGGGGCAUGCACAAGGCCUCAAAAGUAUUGCAUUGUAACAGAAUACAUGCCUGGAGGGAAUUUAUAUGACUUUCUUCACAAGCAAAAUAAUGUUUUGGACCUCCUUACGAUUUUAAGGAUUGCUAUCAGUAUUUCAAAGGGGAUGAAUUAUCUGCAUCAGAAUAACAUCAUUCAUAGAGAUCUGAAGACUGCAAACCUGCUCAUGGGCUAUCAUCAAGUUGUGAAGAUCGCAGACUUUGGUGUGGCUCGACAAGGAAAUCAAGAGGGACAAAUGACUGCUGAAACUGGAACCUAUAGAUGGAUGGCACCCGAGAUCAUUAACCAUAAGCCUUAUGAUAACAAAGCAGAUGUGUUCAGCUUUGCUAUUGUUCUGUGGGAGCUGGUAACUUUGAAGGUUUGGCCCUGGUCCCAUACGAUAACAUGACGCCCUUGCAGGCUGCACUAGGAGUAAGGCAGGGAUUUCGCUUGGAGAUUCCCUCAAGUGUGAACCCGAGAUUGUCAAAACUGAUUCAGCGGUGUUGGGACGAAGAUCCUGAUGUCCGGCCUGUUUUUGCAGAGAUUGUCAUCGAACUUGAAGACAUCUUACAGCAUGCCCAGGCAAACAGCAGGGGAGCCAGUCGGCGUUCUAGAGCUAAGAUACAGAAGAAAUCACCUCGAUAGAGUAUCAUACCAAAGGUUAUCUUGCUCUUUUGUUUUCAUUCUUUUUGGUAAAACAGGCUAACUUGUAGCUGCUUUCUUAGCAACUCCACAGAAUGUGUAAUUUCUUUAGGUCUCCUUCAAAUGAAGGUAUAUAUGCGUAUAUAUAUGUACUUGCCGAUUUGACGGCAGUAACAGAAUGACUGCGAAUUCACUGUUGGUGUCAUCUGUGGACUGAUUAGAAGAUGACCAUUGUUUGCUUCCCAUCCUCGAUGGCAAAGCCGACCUUAGAACACUUGUACAGCUGUAGUUGUUGCACCUAAGUACUAGUACUUCGUAUUAUAGUGGCCUUCGCUGCUCCUGUACAUGUAUUUUACUGCAUUCUUUAGUUAUUCACUUCAGAAUC